CAGUGCCAUAUGGUAUCUGAUGCUCAAUCUCAUUUUUUUUUGAUUUUGUGUCUCGAAGCAUGGCAGAGAUUGAGUGGGAACAGAUCUUGCGACACUGGUCACUCCUUUAUGAGCUUCCGGUUACUAUAUACCUGUUUACAUGC